rnacentral:rRNA from 1 species
UACGUAGGGUGCGAGCGUUAAUCGGAAUUACUGGGCGUAAAGCGUGCGCAGGCGGUUCGUUAAGUUCGAUGUGAAAGCCCCGGGCUCAACCUGAGAACUGCAUUGGAAACUGGCGAGCUUGAAUGCGGCAGAGGGGGGUGGAAUUCCGCGUGUAGCAGUGAAAUGCGUAGAGAUGCGGAGGAACACCGAUGGCGAAGGCAGCCCCCUGGGCCGACAUUGACGCUCAGGCACGAAAGCGUGGGGAGCAAACAGG